CUCCGUAGGGUGAACCUGCGGAGGGAKCAUUWCCGACGKKUACAACUCCCAAACCCAAUGUGAACCAUACCAAACUGUUGCCUCGGCGGGGUCACGCCCCGGGUGCGUCGCAGCCCCGGAACCAGGCGCCCGCCGGAGGGACCAACCAAACUCUUUUCUGUAGUCCCCUCGCGGACGUUAUUUCUUACAGCUCUGAGCAAAAAUUCAAAAUGAAUCAAAACUUUCAACAACGGAUCUCUUGGUUCUGGCAUCGAUGAAGAACGCAGCGAAAUGCGAUAAGUAAUGUGAAUUGCAGAAUUCAGUGAAUCAUCGAAUCUUUGAACGCACAUUGCGCCCGCCAGUAUUCUGGCGGGCAUGCCUGUCCGAGCGUCAUUUCAACCCUCGAACCCCUCCGGGGGGUCGGCGUUGGGGACCUCGGGAGCCCCUAAGACGGGAUCCCGGCCCCGAAAUACAGUGGCGGUCUCGCCGCAGCCUCUCCUGCGCAGUAGUUUGCACAACUCGCACCGGGAGCGCGGCGCGUCCACGUCCGUAAAACACCCAACUUCUGAAAUGUUGACCUCGGAUCAGGUAGSAAURCCCRCUGAACUUAAGCAUAUCAAUAAGCGGAAGAA
rnacentral:rRNA from 1 species